GAUGAACGCUGGCGGCGUGCCUAAUACAUGCCAGUCGAGCGAACAGACGAGGAGCUUGCUCCUCUGACGUUAGCGGCGGACGGGUGAGUGACACGUGGAUAACCUACCUAUAAGACUGGGAUAACUUCGGGAAACCGGAGCUAAUACCGGAUAAUAUGUUGAAUCGCAUGGUUCAACAGUGAAAGACGGUCUUGCUGUCACUUAUAGAUGGAUCCGCGCCGCAUUAGCUAGUUGGUAAGGUAACGGCUUACCAAGGCAACGAUGCGUAGCCGACCUGAGAGGGUGAUCGGCCACACUGGAACUGAGACACGGUCCAGACUCCUACGGGAGGCAGCAGUAGGGAAUCUUCCGCAAUGGGCGAAAGCCUGACGGAGCAACGCCGCGUGAGUGAAGAAGGUCUUCGGAUCGUAAAACUCUGUUAUUAGGGAAGAACAAAUGUGUAAGUAACUAUGCACGUCUUGACGGUACCUAAUCAGAAAGCCACGGCUAACUACGUG
rnacentral:rRNA from 1 species